AGGUGUUUAAGUUUCUUGAAAACUUAAGGUUCUUCUCGGAGUGUUCCAAUCCCGUUCUUGUUCUCAAAUAUCCUGGAUUUUGCUUGAUGCAGGAAAAUGAAUAUGGAAGGCGGAAAGAUUCAUGACUGCUUGGCUUGUGUGUUAAGGAUGAAUGGAUUGAAUGGACUGCGUGUCGAUCGAGGAUGACAUUAUUUUUAAGUCUUUUAAAUUGUGUUUUGAUGUAAUUCCACUAUUAGUAUUUUAAACAAUUAAAGUCUAUGUUUUAUAACAAUGGGUACCCAUACCGUAUUUUACAUUUCAUAUUUUACUUUGUAUUUUGCACAAUAUUUAUUUUGGGGUAUUAAAUAAAGUUAUGUUAUUUCUUA